rnacentral:rRNA from 1 species
AUUGAACGCUAGCGGCAUGCUUAACACAUGCAAGUCGAGCGAGCGGCGGACGGGUGAGUAAUAUCUGGGAAACUGCCUGAUGGCGGGGGAUAACUACUGGAAACGGUAGCUAAUACCGCAUACUAUUGGCUGUGCCCAGAUGGGAUUAGCUAGUUGGUGGGGUAAUGGCUCACAUAGGCAACGAUCCCUAGCUGGUCUGAGAGGAUGACCAGCCACACUGGAACUGAGACACGGCCCAGACUCCUACGGGAGGCAGCAGUGGGGAAUAUUGCACAAUGGGCGCAAUCCUGAUGCAGCCAUGCCGCGUGUGUGAAGAAGGCCUUCGGGUUGUAAAGCACUUUCAGCGAGGAGGCGGUACUCGCAGAAGAAGCACCGGCUAACUCCGUGCCAGCAGCCGCGGUAAUAC